rnacentral:rRNA from 1 species
GAUGAACGCUGGCGGCGUGCCUAAUACAUGCAAGUCGAGCGAAUGGAUUAAGAGCUUGCUCUUAUGAAGUUAGCGGCGGACGGGUGAGUAACAUGUGGGUAACCUGCCCAUAAGACUGGGAUAACUCCGGGAAACCGGGGCUAACACCGGAUAACAUUUUGAACCGCAUGGUUCGAAAUUGAAAGGCGGCUUCGGCUGUCACUUAUGGAUGGACCCGCGUCGCAUUAGCUAGUGGUUGAGGUAACGGCUCACCAAGGCAACGACGCGUCGCCGACCUGAGAGGGUGAUCGGCCACACUGGGAGUGAGACACGGCCCAGACUCCUACGGGAGGCCGCAGUAGGGAAUCUUCCGCAAUGGACGAAAGUCUGACGGAGCAACGCCGCGUGAGUGAUGAAGGCUUUCGGGUCGUAAAACUCUGUUGUUAGGGAAGAACAAGUGCUAGUUGAAUAAGCUGGCACCUUGACGGUACCUAACCAGAAAGCCACGGCUAACUACGUGCCAGCAGCCGCCGUAA